GAGACGUCUGGAAUUGAAAUAGUACCUGUAUUUAUCUCAGUGGAUCCUGAAAGAGAUACGGUUGAGCAAGUAGACGAAUAUGUUAAAGAGUUCCACCCAAACUUGAUUGGCCUCACUGGUAGCCCAGAAGAAAUAAAGAAAACAGCACGUGCUUAUCGGGUUUACUAUAUGAAGACAGAAGAAGAAGGCUCAGACUACCUUGUUGAUCACUCAAUAGUCAUGUAUCUUAUGGAUCCUAAGAUGGAAUUUGUGAAGUUUUUUGGGAAG
rnacentral:misc_RNA from 1 species